ACCCGCCUUGGCCCGCUUUGACCCGCCUUGACCCGCCUUAGGUCGCCUUGGCCCGCCUUGGACUGCCUUUGGCCGCCUUGACCCACUUUGGCCCGCCAUGGGCUGCCUUGACCCACCUUGACCUGCAUUAGCCCGCUUAACCCGUCUUGGGCCGCCUUAACCGGCUUUGGGUCGCCAUGGGUCGCCAUGGGUCGCCUUGAACCGCCUUGGGUUGUUUGACUCUCCUAGACCCACCUAAGGCCACUAAGAAGCCGCCAUGACUUGCCAAGUGGUCGCCAUGACCCUCCUAGGCCCAUUUAGGGCCACCAAGAAGCCACCAUGGCUCGUCAAGGGGUCGCCAAGACCCUCCUCGGCUCUUCUAGGCCCAUCUAGGGCAGUUAAGAGGAGGCCACGGGGGCGCCUUGGACUGCUUUGACCUACUUGGGUUGCCAUGGGCCGCUUUGACCCGUUUUGGCCCGCCUUGACCUGCUUUGGGCAGUCUUGACCCGCCUUGGAUCGCCAUGGCCCGCUUUAGACUGCCUUGGCCAACCAUGGCCUGUCUUGACCCGUCUUAGGUCGCCUUGGCCCGCCUUAGACUGCCUUUGGCCGCCUUGACCCGCUUUGGCCCGUCAUGGGCUGCCUUGACCCGCCUUGACCUGCAUUAGCCCGCCUUGACUCGUCUUGGGCCGCCUUGACCGGCUUUAGGCCGCCUUGACCUAUCUAGGCUGCCUUGACCCGCCAUGGGUCACCUUGACUCGCUUUGGGCCGCGUUGAACUGCCUUGGGUCGCUUGACUCUCCUAGACCCACCUAGGGCCACUAAGAAGCCGCCAUGACUCGCCAAGUGGUCGCCAUGUCCCUCCUAGGCCAGUUUAUGGCCACCAAGAAGCCGCCAUGGCUCGCCAAGACCCUCCUCAGCUCUUCUAGGCCCAUCUAGGGUAGCCAAGGGGAGGCCACGGGGGGAGCCUUGACCCUCCUUGGGCCGCCAUAGGCCGCCUUAACCCGUUUUGGCCCACCUUGACCUGCUUUNNNNNNNNNNNNNNNNNNNNACCCGCCUUAGCCCGCUUUGGACUGCCUUGGCCCGCCUUUGGGUCGCCUUGGCCCGCCUUGACCUGCAUUGGCUGGCCUUGACCCGCCAUGGGCCGACUUGAUCCGCCUUGACCUGCAUUGGCCCGCCUUGAGCUGCCUUGACCGGCUCUGGGCCGCCGUGGGCUGCCUUGACCCGCUUUGACCUAUCUUGGCCGCCUUGACCCUCCUUGACCUGCCAUGGGCCGCCUUGAACCGCUUUGGGCCGCUUUACUCUCCUAGACCCACCUAGGGCCACUAAGAAGCCGCCAUGACUCGCCAAGUGGUCGCCAUGACCCUCGUAGGCCCGUUUAGGGCCACCACGAGGCCGUCAUGGCUUGCCAAGGGGUCCCCAUGACCCUCCUCAGCUCUUUUAGGCCCAUCUAGGGCAGCCAAGGGUUGGCCAAUGGGGCGUCUUGGACUGUCUUGACCCGCCUUGACCCGCCUUAGGCCGCCAUGGGUCAAUGCGGCCUGCUUUGGACUGCCUUGACCCUCAUUGGACCGCCUUGACCCGCUUUGGACUGCCUUGGCUAGCCUUGACCUGCCUUGGCUCGCCUUGGCCUACUUUUGAUUGCCUUGGGCCGCUUUGGACUGCCUUGGCCAGCCUUGACCUGCCUUGGCUCGCCUUGGCCUACUUUAGAUUGCCUUGGGCCGCCUUGACCUGCUUUGGGCCGUCAUGGGCUGCCUUGACCCGCCUUGACUUGCCUUGCCUGCAUUGACCCGCCUUGGGCCGUCUUGGGCCGCCUUGACCGGCUUUGGGCCGCCAUAGGCUGCCUUGACCCUCAUUGACCUAUCUUGGCCGCCUUGACCCUCGUUGACUCGCCAUGGGCCGCCUUGACCCGUCUUGUCCCGCCUUAACCCGCUUUGGGCAACCAUAGGCCGGCUUGACCUGCCUUGACCCUCCUAGACCCACCUACGGCCACCAAGAAGCUGCAUGACUCACCAAAGUGGUCACCAUGACCCUCUCCUAGACCCACCAAGGGCCACCAAGAAACCGCCAUGUCUCGCCAAAGGGUCGUCGUGAUCCUCCUAAGCCCGUCUAGGGCUUCCAAGAAGCUACCCUGACUCGCCAAGGGGCCGCCAUGACCCUCCUAGGCUUUUUCUAAGGUAGCCGGGAAGGGGGGGGGGGGGGGGGGGGGGGCCAAGGGGGCACCUUGACCCGCCUUGGACUGUCUUGGGUUGCCUUGACCCGCUUUAGACCGCCUUGAUCCACCUUGGGCCGUCUUAACCCGUUCUGAACCGCGUUAAGCUACCUUGACCCUCAUAGACCCGCCUUUAUUUUCCUAGGGCCGCCUUGACCCGUCUUAACCCGUCUUAGGCCACCAAGGGCCGCCUUGACCCGCUUUAACCCGCCUUGGAUUACCAUGGGUCGUCCUGACCUGCCUUGAACUGCGUUGGGCCGCCUUGACCCGCCUAGACCCUCUUAGACUUGCCACGGGGCUGCCUAGGGUCGCCUUGGCCUUCCUAGGGUCUCCAAUGGGGACGCCUUGACACACCUAGGGCUGCCAAGGGACGUCUUGACCCGUGAAAGGGCUGCCUUUACACGCCUAGGACUUUUUUAACCACCCUAGGGAUCACCAUGAUCCGCCCAGGGCUGCCAAAGGGCUGCAUACGUCCGCCAAGGGGCCACCUUGACCAGGAUUGACCCGUCUUAACCUUCCUUGGGCCGCCUUAACCGGUCUUGACCCACCUAGACCCACUUUGGGCCGUCAUGGGCCUCCUUGACCCGCCUAGUUCCGUCUAGGACAACCAAGAAGCCGCCAUGACUCGUCAUGACCCUCCUGGACUCUUCUGGGCCAACUAGGGCAGCCAAGAGGCGGCCAAGGGCGAACCUUGACCCGUCUUAGGCUGUCUUAUCACGCCUUGAGCCGCCUUCGGCCGCCUUGACCUGCCUUGAACCAUGUUAAGCUGCCUUGACCUACCUUGGCUCACCUUAACCUGCCUUGACCUGCUUUGCACUACCAUAGGCCGCCUUUACCUGCCUUGGGUCGCCCUGACCCACUUAGACCCACAUCAGGGCACAAGAAACCGCCAUGACCCGCCUUGACCCACUUUGGGCCGUCAUGGGUCGCCUUCGGCCGCCUUGAAGCACCUUGGGCCGAUUGACUCUUCUUGACCCACCUAGGGCCACCAAGAAGCCACCAUGACUAGCCAAGGGGUUGUCAUGACCCUCCUAGGCCCGUUUAGGGCCACCAAGAAGCCGCCAUGGCUCGCCAAGGGGUCACCAUGACACUCCUCGGCUCUUCUAGGCCCAUCUAGGGCAGCCAAAGGGAGGCCACGCAGGGUGCCUUGGACUGCCUUGACUCGUCUUGGCCCGCCUUGACCUGCAUUGGGCCGCCUUGGCCCACUUUAGACUGCCUUGGCCUUCUUUAGCCCGCCUUGGACUGCCUUGAGCUGCCUUGACCCGUUUAAGGCCGUCAUGGGCUGCCAUUGCCCGCCUUGGGCCGUCAUAGGCCGACUUGACCUGCCUUGAACCGCCUUGGGCCACCUUUACCGGUUUUGGGCCGCCCUGGGUCACCUUUAACCGCCUUGGGCCGCUUGACUCUCCUAGACCCACCUAGGGACACCAAGAAGUCGCGAUGGCUCGCUAAGGGGUCGCCAUGACUCUCCUCGGCUCUUCUAGGCCCAUCUGGGGCAGCCAAGGGGAGGCCAAGGGGGCGCCUUGGACUGCCUUGGCCCUCCUUGAUCCGCCUUGGGCCGGCAUGGGCCGCCUUGACCCGUCUUGGCCCGCCUUAUUAUUUUGAUUCAGAAAUAGUAAGUUUCCUAAAUCAAAAUAAGAAAGUUUCUUAAAAUGAAAUAGGCAACUUUCCUUUUUCAAAACAGGAAAGUUUCCUAAACGACUUAUCCUUUGAUUUUGCGACUUAAUGAGACUCCUUGCUGAACCAGGAAUCCUCUUUUGAUUAGGAUUUCGCUCAACUCUUGCGUUUUAGCCUUCUUUUGUGUAAAACUACCUCUUUUGACAUACAACACAGAAACAAGCUAGAAAUGGCAUUAUUAAGGAAUUAACGAAGUUAAAUAGGGUAGGAAAUACAUUAAGAAUAUAGCAUAAAAUGCGUGUAUCACCAUGACCCUCCUAGGCCUUUCCAGGGCCACCAAGAAGCCGCCAUGACUCGCCAAGGAGCCGCGUUGACCCGCCUCGGGCCGCCUUGACUUGCCUUGGCCCACUUUGACUCACCUUGACCCGCCAUGACCCGCUUUAGGCCGCCAUGACCCGCUUUGGGCCGCCAUGACUUGUUUUGGCCCGCCCUGACCCGCCUUGAACCAUCUUUGGCCACCUUGACCCUAGUAGACCCACCUAGGCUGCCAUGACUCGCCAAGGGGUUGCCAUGACCCUCCUAGACCGGUCUAGGGCCCCCAUGACUUGCCAAGGUGUCGCCAUGAUCCUCCUAGGCUCUUCUAGUCCCAUCUAGGGAAUCCAAGGGGAGGCCAAGGGGGCGCCUGGGACUGCCUUGGCCCGUUUUGACCUGCCUUGACCUGUCUUAGACAGUUUUAACCCUCCUAGACCUAUCUAGGGCCACCAAGAAGCCACCAUGACUCGCCAAGGGGUCGUUGUGACCCACUUAGAUCCACCAAGGGACACCAAGAAGCCGCCAUGACUUGCCAAAAGGUCGCAUGACCCUACUUGGCCAAAGGGGUGCCAUGACCUGCCUUGGCCCGCCUUAGACUGCCUUGGGCCGCUUUGACCUGCUUUAGGCCGGCAUGAUCCGCCUUGACCCUCUUAGACCUGCAACUGGGAUGCCUUGGGCCGCUUUGAACAGCCUUAACCCGCCAUGACCUGCUUUGAACAGCCUUGACCCACAUAUGGCCGUUUUGGGCCGUCAUGGGCCGCCUUGACCCGCUUUGGGCCACCUUGACUUGCCAUGGCCCACCUUGACUAGCCUUGGACAGCCUUGACCCGCCAUUAACCGCCUAUUGCCACCAAGAAACCACCAUGACCCUCCUAGGCCCAUCUAGAGCUGCUAAGGGACCGUCUUAGCCUGCCGUGACCCUCCUCGGCCCACUUAGGGCAGCGAAAGAGGCGUCAUGACCCACCUAGGGGGCUGCCUUUACACGCCUUGACCCGUCUUGACUCACCAAGGGGUUGCCUUUACAUGCCAAUGACUUUUUUGACCUUCUAAGGGACCGCCAUGACCCGUCUUGGGACACCAAGGGGUUGCAUACGUCUGUUAAAGGGCAACUUUGACCUGCCUUCGCUCGUCUUGGUCCGCCUUAACCCAGUUUGGCCCGCUUUGGCCUUCCUUGACCCUCCUUGGGCUGCCUUGACCAGCCUUGCCCGCCUUGAGCAGCCAUAGGCCACCUUACCCCGUCUUGGCCCGUCUUAACCCGCUUUGGGCCGCCUUGACACACAUUGGGCGGCCUUGAACCGCCUUGGGCCGCUUGACUCUCCUAGACCCACCUAGGGCCACCAAGAAGCCGCCAUGACUCGCUAAGGAGUCACCAUGACCCUCCUAGGCCCGUUUAGGGCCACCAAGAAGCCGCCAUGGCUCGCCAAGGGGUUGCUAUGACCCUCCUCAGCACUUCUAGGCCCAUCUAGGGCAGCAAAGGGGAGGCCAAGGGGGCGCCUUGGACUGCCUUGGGCCGCCAUGGGCCACCUUGACCCGUCUUAGCCCGCCUUGACCUGCUUUGGGCAGCCUUGGCCCGCUUUGGACUGCCUUGCCAGCCUUGACCAGCCUUGGCCCGCCUUAGACUGCCUCGACCCACUUUGGGCCAUCAUGGGCUGCCUUGACCCGCCUUGGGCCGCCAUGGGUUGACUUGACCUGCAUUGGCCCGCCUUGACCGGCUUUGGGCCGCCAUGAGCCAGCUUGACCUAUCUUGGCCGCCUUGACCCUCCUUGACCCGCCAUGGGUCGCCUUGAUCCGCUUUGGGCCGCCUUGAACCGCCUUGGGCUGCUUGACUCUUCUAGACCCACCUUGGGCCACCAAGAAGCUGCCAUUACUCGCCAAUGGUCGCCAUGACCCUCCUAGGCCAGUUUAGGGCCACCAAGAAGCCGUCAUGGCUCGCUAAGGGGUCGCCAAGACCCUCCUCGGCUCUUCUAGGCCUAUCUAGGGCAGCUAAUGGGAGGCCAAGGGAGCGCCUUGGAGUGCCUUGACCCGCCUUGGGCCACCAUGGGCUGCCUUGACCCGCCUUGACCUGCUUUGGGCCACCUUGAUUCGCCUUGGCCCGCUUUGGACUACCUUGGCCAGCCUGGACCUGCCUUGACCCAUCUUGGACUGCAUUGGACUGCCUUGACCCGCCCUGGGCCGACUUGACACGCCUUAAACUGCAUUGGCCCGCCUUGACCCGCUUUGGGCCGCUUGACUCACUUAGACCCACCUAGGACCACCAAGAAGCAGUUAUGACUCGCCAAGUGGUCGCCAUGACCUUCCUAGGCUUGUUUAUGGCCACCAAGAAGCCACUAUGGCUCGCCAAGGGGUCGCCAAGACCCACCUUGGACCGCCUUGGCCCGCUUUGGACUGCUUUGGCCCGCCUUGGGCCUCCAUGGGCCGACAUGACCCGCCUUGACCUGCCUUCCCCUCAUUGACCCGACUUGGGCCGCCUUGACCUGUCGUGGGCCGCCUUGACCCGUCUUGUCCCGACUUAACCCGCUUUGGACAGCCAUGGGCCAGCUUGACCCGCCUUAACCUUCCUAGACCCACCUACGGCUACCAAGAAGCCGCAUGACUCACCAAAGGGGUCACCGUGACCCUCUCCUAGACCCACCUAGGGCCGCUAUAACUCGCUAAAGGGUUGCCAUGAUCCUCCUAAUCCCGUCUAAGGCCUCCGAGAAACUGCCCUGACUCGCCAAGGGGUCACCAUGACCCUCCUAGACUCUUCUAGGGUAGCAAAGGGGCGGCCAAGUUGGUGCCUUAACCCGCCUUGGCUCGCCUUGGACUGCCUUGGGCCACCUUGACCCGCUUUAGGCCGCCUUGAUCCGCCUUAACUCGCCUUGAACCGCGUUACGCCGUCUUAACCCUCAUAGACCCGCCUAGUUCAGUCUUGACCCUCUUAAACCCGCCACGGGUCUCCCUAGGGCCGCCUUAACCCGUCUUAGGCCGCCAUGGGCCGCCUUGACCAGCUUUAAUCUGCCUUAGCCCGCCUUGGACUACCUUGGGCCGCCUAGACCUACCUUGAACCACGUUAGGCCGCCUUGACCCUUAUAGACCCGCCUAGUUCAGCCUAGACCCUUUUAGACCCGCCACGGGGCUGCCUAGGGCCGCCUUGACCCACCUUGGCCUUCCUAGGGCCGCCAAUGGGGACAUCUUGACCCGCCAAGGGGCUGCCUUUACACGCCUAGGGCUGUUUUAACCACCCUUAGGACCAUCAUGGCCCGCCUAGGGCUAUCAAAGGGCUGCAUACGUCCGCCAAGGGGCCACCUUGACCAUGAUUGACCUGUCUUGACCCGUCUUAACCUGUCUUGGGCCGUCUUGACCCACCUUAGGCAGUGUUAACCGGUCUUGGCCCUCGCCUUUACCCGCUUUGGGCCGUCAUGGGCCGUCUUGACCCACCUAGGCUUGUCUAGGGCAACCAAGAAGCCGCCAUGACUCGCCAUGACCCUCUUCGACUCUUCUAGGCCCACCUAGGGCAGCCAAGGGCGAGCCUUGACCCGCCUUAGGCUGUCUUAUCAAGCCUUGACCCGCCUUGGGCCUCCUUGACCUGCCUUGAACCACGUUAGACCGCCUUGACUUGCUUUGACCCGCUUUGCGCUGCCAUGGGCCACCUAUACCCACCUUGGGCCGCCAUUACCCUUUUAGACCCACAUCAGGCCACCAAGAAACCGCCAUGACCCACCUUGGCCAGCCAUAGGCCACCUUGACCUAUCUUGGCCUGCCAUAACCCACCUUGACCCGUUCUGAGCCGCCAUGGGUCGCCUUCGGCCGCCUUGAACCACCUUGGGCCGAUUGACUCUCCUAGACCCAUCUAGGGCCACCAAGAAGCCGUCAUGACUAGCCAAGCCAUGACACUCCUCAGCUCUUCUAGGCCCAUCAAGGGUAGCCAAGGGGAGGCCAAAGGGGCGCCUUGGGCUACCUUGACCUGCCUUGGGCCGCCAUGAGCCGCCUUGACCUUCUUUGGGUCGCCUUGACCCGCUUUGGACUGCCUUGGCCAGCCUUAACCUUCGUUGGCCGUCUUUGGACCGCCUUGGGUCGCCUUAACCCACUUUGAGCCGUCAUGGGCUGCCUUAACCCGCCAUGGGCCGACUUGACCCGCAUUGACUUGCCUUGACCCGUCUUGAGCCGCCUUUACCGGCUUUGGGCCGCCUUGACCUAUCUUGGCUGCCUUGACCCUCCUUGACCCGCCAUGGGCCACCUUGACCCGCCUUGGGCCGCCCUGGGCCAUUGAACCGCCUUGGGCCGCUUGACUCUCCUAAACCCACCGAGGGCCACCAAGAAGCCGUCAUGGCUCGCCAAGGGGCCGCCAUGACCCUCCUCAGCCUGUUCUGGGCCACCAAGAAGCCACCAUGACUCGCCAAGGAGCCGCCUUGACCCGCUUUGACCUGUCUUGACCCGUCAUGACUUGCCUUGGCCCGCCUUGACUUGUCGUGGGCCACCAUGGGCCACCUUGCCCGCCCUGACUCGUGUUGAACGACCUUGGGCCGUCUUGACCCUCGUACUUCACCUAGGCCGCCAUGACUCGCCAGGGGGUCGCCAUGACCCUCCUGGGCCAGUCUAGGGCCACCAAGAAGCCGCCAUGACCCUCCUCGACUCUUCUAGGCCCAUCUAGGGAAUCCAAGGGGAGGCCAAGGGGGCGCCUGGGGCUGCCUUGGCCCGCCUUGACUCUCCUUGACUUGCCUUUGUCCGUCUUGACCCUCCUAAACCCACCUAGGGCCACCAAGAAGCUGCCAUAACUCGCCAAAGGGUCGUCGUGACCUUCUUAGACCCACCUAGGACCAGCAAGAAGCCGCCAUGACUCGCCAAGGGGUCGCAUGACCUUACUUGGCUCUUCUAGGCCCCUCUUUGGCAGGCAAGGGGAGACCUAGGGGGCGCCUUGACCCCUUGGCCCACCUUGGAUUGCCUUGCGCCACGUUGACCCGCUUUGGGCCGUGAUGAUCCGUUUUGGGCUACCUUGACCCUCAUAGACCUGCCUAGGGCCGCCUUGACCCUCAUAGACCCGCCUAGGGCCGCCUUGACCCUCUUAGACUCGUAACGGGGCUGCCUUGGGCAGCUUUGACCCGCCAUGGCCCACCUGGACCCGCUUUGAACUGCCUUGACCUCCUAGACUCGCAUAGGGUCGCCUUGACCCACUUUGGGCAGUCAUGACCCGCCUUGUGCCGCCUUGACCCGCCAUGGCCCACCUUGACCCGCCUUGGAUAGCCUUGACCCGCCAUGAACCACCUUGGGACGCCUAUUGCCACCAAGAAACUACAAUGACCCUCCUAGGCCCGUCUAGAGCCGCUAAUGGACCGCCUUAGCCCGCCUUAGCCCGCCUUAACCCUCCUCGGCCCACUUAGGGUAGUCAAAGGGGCGCCAUGACCCACGUAAGGGGCUGCCUUUUCACGCCUUGACCCGUCUUGACCCGCCAAGGGGCUGCCUUUACAUGCAUAUGGCUGUUUUAACCUCCCUAGGGACUGCCAUGACCCGUCUAAGGACGCCAAGGGGCUGCAUACUUCUGCUAAGGGGCCACUUUGACCCGCCUUCGUCCGUCUUGGUCCGCCUUAACCCAGCUUGACCUGCCUUGGCCCGCCUUAGACCGCCUUGACCCACCUUGACUUGCCUUCGCCAGCCAUGACCCGCCUUCGCAAGCCAUAGGCCACCUUGACCAUCUUGGCCUGCCUUAACCCACCUUGACCCGCUUUGGGCUGCCUUGACCCCCCUUGGGCAGCCAUGGGCUGACUUGACCCUCCUUGACCUGCAUUGGCCCGCCUUGACCGGCUUUGGGCCACCUUGACCCACUUUUACCUAUCUUCGCCGCCUUAACCCUCCUUGACCCGCCAUGGGUCGCCCUGACCCGCUUUAGGCCGUCAUGGGCCGCCUUGACCUGCCUAGGCCCGUCUAGGGCAACCAAGAAGCUGCCAUGACUCGCCAUGACCCUCCUCGACUCUUAUGGGCCCACCUAGGGUGGCCAAGGGCGAACCUUGACCCGCCUCAGGCUAUCUUAUCACGCCUUGACCCGUCUUGACCUGCCUUGAAUCACGUUAGGCCGCCUUAACCUACCUGAACCUGCCUUGGGUUGCCUUGGGCCAUCUUGACCCACUUUGGGCCGCCAUGAUCCGCCUAGACCCGCGUUGAACCGCAUUGGGCCGCCAUGAUCUGCCUAGACCCGCGUUGAACCGCGUUGGGCUGCCUUGACCCUCAUAGACCCGCCUAGGGCUGCCUUGACCCUCAAAGACCUAUUUAGGGCCACCAAGAAGCCUCCAUGACUCGCCAAGGGGUCGCCAUGACUCUCCUAGGCCUAUUUAGGGCCAUUAAGAAGACGCCAUGACUUGUCAAGGGGCCGCCUUGGGACGCCAUGACCCACCUUGAGACGCCAUGACCCUCCAUGGGCUGCCUUUACCCGUCUUGGGCCGCUUUGAACCGCUUUAGGCCGCUGACUCUCCUAGACCCACCGAGGGCUACUAAGAAGCAGCCAUGACUCGCCAAGUGGUCACCAUGACCCUCCUAGGCCUGUUUAGGGCCACCAAGAGCCCGCCACGACUCGCCAAGGGGUCGCCAUGACCCUCCUUGGCUCUUCUAGGCCCAUCUAGGGUAGCCAAGGGGAGGCCAAGGGGGCGCCUUGGACUGCCUUAGCUCGUCUUGACCCGCCUUAGGCCGCCAUAGGCCGCCUUGACCCGUCUUAGCCUACCUUGACCUGCUUUGGGUCGCCUUUACCCUCUUUGGACCGCCUUGGCCCGCUUUGGACUGCCUUGGCCCCCCUUAGCCUACCUUGACCCGCUUUGGGCCGUCAUGGGUUGCUUUACCCGCCUUGGGGCACCAUGGGCCGACUUGACCCGCCUUGACCGGCUUUGGGCCGCAAUGGGCCGCCUUGAACUAUCUUGGCCGCCUUGACCCUCCUUGACCCGCCUUGACUUGCUUUGGGCCGCCAUGGGCCGUCUUGAACCUCCUAGACCCACCUAGGGCCAGCAAGAAGCCGUCAUGACUCGCCUUAGGCCGCCUUGGCCCGCCUUAGGCCGCCAAGGGCCUCCUUGACCCACCUUAACCCGCCUUGGACCACCUUAGGCCGCUUUGAUCCGCCUUGGGCCGCCUUGAACCGCGUGGGCCGCCUUGACCCGCCUUGAACCGCGUUGGGCUGCCUUGACCCUCAUAGACCCGCCUAGACCCUCUUAGACCCGCCUAGACCCUCUUAGACCCGCCACGUGGCUGCCUAGGGCCGCCAUGGGGAUGUCUUGACCCACCUUGAACCGCGUUGGCCUACCUUAACCCUCAUAGACCCGCCUAGGGUCGCCUAGACCCUCUUAGACCCGCCAUGUGGGUACCUAGCUAGGGCCGCCUUGGCCUUCAUAGGGCGGCCAAGCGGGACGCCUUGACACACCUAGGGCUGCCAAGGGGAUGUCUUGACCAGUCAAGGUGUUGCCUUUACACGUCUAGGGCUGUUUUAACCUUUGUAGGGACCGCCAUGACCCGCCUAGGGCUGCUAAGGGGAUGCAUACGUCCGCUAAGGGGCCACUGUAAUGCCCCGGAAAUUUGAUAUUAGUUUAUAAUAUUAUUUUGGAAAUUAUCUAAGUAGGAGUUGUGCGGUUUUGUGGUUUAGUGAGUGGACUGGAAGUAUUCGAGCAUUUAAUUUCUUGAAAAUGUUUUAUUUUGAAGGGUCAAGAGUUGACUUUUUAAUCUGUUGGGUUUUUUGGAAAACUUCCUUCACGAAAGUUGUAGAACACGACGAUACAAGUUCAUAGACAUGUAGCAUGCGUAAAACGGACUUCGCAUGAGAAAGUUAUGGUCAGCGGAAGUUCGUGGAUUUACGAAAAAUUUGGGUUAAAUAAGGAAAGUUUAGGGUUUCCAUUUCACUUUCUAGAAACCAUCUCUCCUCUCUUCCUUCUCUCUCGUGUCUCACCCUCACUAUCUGAGUUUCCUUUCUGACCCGACCCGGACCCGGCCAACCCACCCGACUUUUUCGGCCACCUCCAACCGACCUAGACGUUGGCACCAGUCAGGUUUUCUUCCUCUCCUUGGAGUGAUCCUCCCUGUCUAGGUGGGUGAGGACGACUCGACCCGGAAUUGAGAGAAUUGAACGCCACAGAGAGGGUGUGGACCCGACUUCGACCUGACAACUUUCCGGCCAUGUACGACGGCGACUGGAAGUGAGGCUGCCUAUUCCUUGAAGCAUUCUUCCUUCUAAGCAUGUUUCAAGAUGCCAUUCACCUCAUUUUAAGGUCUAGAAGUCGAUUUGAGGCCAUCUUGGCAGCCGGUUUUGUUGUGGACGAUUCCUGCCAAAUUGGUUCAAAUGUCAGGUAUAAAAGAUGUUUCAUUUGCUUCAAUCUACAAGUUUGAUGUUUUGAGUUUGCCCAAAUUUAGAAUUUUUGGGGUAGCGUGUGGGGCCCACUCGUCGCCGCUUGUGGUGGUGAUGGCGACGGGUCCGGCAGGGGUUGGGAGGUCAGGAGUAACUGUUGGCUUGUGCUCGUCGAUACGAGCAUGUUGACAUGUCAUGAGGUUUUGUUUGAUCAAGUUUUGCAUCCUAGGUUUAAGGCUAAUUAAGUUGAGAAUCGUGAGAGGUUGUUAAGCUUUGGUUUUUGAGCUUUGAAAAUCUUGUUAGCUAUUUCAAUAGGUUGGUUGAGGGUUCCUAUGACCAUGGGAGGUCUCGGAAGAAGGUCCCUUUUUGGUGAAAUCUUAGGUUAAGGCUUGUUAAGGGUGCAAUGUUCUUUUGUUUAAGUGGUUAUUAAAGUUAUUAUUUGUAUUAAAUAGGUAGCUUGUGGAGUUGAUAUUUAAGCUUGGCUCUUGUAUUGUGUUGAAGACGCAUGCAGCGGGAUUAUUUAGGUGAGUAAAAUCUCACCAAGGUCCACUUUGUGACCUAUUUAUUUAUGAUGAUUAUAAUGUUGAUGAUUAUGAUGAUUGUGAUGAUGAUAAUGAUUUAAAAAUUAUGUUUUCCUUUUUGCUUGUUUUAAAAUAUAUGAGUAUCCUUCUCUAUCUUCAAUCUCAACUUCGGUGCUUCCGUUUCAAACACAAAAUUAUGGGUGGCGCCAGUGUCGACCAUCACACUCUUGGCAACCUUCCCGUUUAUGCUCCCAUUCACAAACAUUAGGCCCUUGGGCUAAGACUCCUGGGAUGCUGGUUGUUGCUUUUCCACUACAUUCAAGAAUCUCAAGGCACCCUUCUGACUGGGUUCCUCCACUUCCUCUUAGGGUUCCUCAGACUCUUUUGUCGAAAUAUGGGCUUGUAGGGCUGUUAAGGCCAUCUUGUGUGGACACUCAUUCACCCUAUGAGGCCCUUUGCAUGAGAAGCAAGAUAUCGGUCUUGGUGUGAAGCCGGCGGAGUUGAAUUGUCGUGGGGGAAAUACUCAUGUUGAUGCAGCCGGUUUGGAAGAGGUUGUAUCCCUUACAUUGGUCAUCCUCCCCCCUCCUCCGAAACUGGAGAACUUUGACUCCACUCCCCCACUUCUACUCUGUCCUAGUCUCACACUUUUGUUGGCAUUCACAUUCGAAAAGGAUGAGGUUUUUUUGGGAGGGUUCUCUUCAAAAGUGUAGUCUGUUAACCUUUUAGCUGCUGCUUGAGCAGAAGCCAAAUCUUGAACCCUUUGUCUCUGAAGUUCGGUUCUAGCCCACGGCUUCAAUCCCUCGAGGAAAUAGAAUAGUCUGUUCUUCUUCGACAUAUUUGGAAGAUCGAGCAUGAGCACGGAGAAUUUGCUCACAAACUCUCUACUGUUGUUGGUGUGCUUCAACUCUCUCAACUGUCGUCUUACAAUGUAGUCUACAUUCUCUGGGAAGAACUGCAUCUUCAGCUCUUUCUUCAGGUCCUCCCAUGUGGCAAUGGUACAGACAUUCCUCUGGAUGUCGUUGUAUUUUGUUCUCCACCACAGUUUCGCAUCGCCCGACAAAUACAUUGUCGCCAUGCCCACUUUUGCUUCUUCUGAAUCCGGCUUCACUGCCCGGAAGUAUUGCUCCAUAUCAAAUAGAAAAUUCUCAAGCUCCUUGGCGUCUCGCGCCCCUCCAUAAGCUUGAGGCUCCGGGACCUUUACCUCUUAUAGUCUGUCACAGGUUGGUUACUCAUCGCCCGUAGCUAGAUUGAGCUUGGUAUUCAUCUCUAACAGCUUGUUUUUGAAUGCAUCAAUAGUGGCUCGGACAUCCUCCGCCAUGGUGUCCAUAGUCACUUGUAGUGUUUCGAGGGAAUCACCCAUCGCCCCCACCUGCUCCUGUGAAACAUAACCUCCAUCACUCUCGGUCUCUACUUCGAGUCUUGGAGCUUUCAUCUUUUCAAGGGCAGUAACUCGCCCUUUCAGUCUUUCAAGGUCAUCGACUCACGCCGCCAACCCAUCUAGGUCAACGCGGUCAAGGGCUGCAACUCGCCCUCUCAAUUCCUCAAGGUCAUUGACUCGUGUGGCCAGUUCAUCCAGGUCGACACGGUCUAGAGUGGAGGUAAUGUCAAUCAAUCUGUCAGGGACUCCCGCAAGUUCACCAAGCAUUUGGUCAUACCAAUCAAAUUUUUGUUGCUUUGUCAUUCCUCCCGGCAUGUUGUGAGCCUUCGAGCCAAGAUGACUAUGAUACCACCUGUCACGGGCCGACUUUACGAGAGUGCAAAGAGGACUGUGAAGCACUCGCUAGCCUUGGAAAUGUAGCAAGUCAGCCUUGUGCGCACCUUGCAAGGAACAAUGGAAACCACACGAUAUUAAUAUAAUUCUAGCAACAAGCAAGAACACAUUUUUUUAUAAUUGUGGAGCGAGCUCAAAGAGCGAGCGGGCACUCGAAUGAAAAGUUGAAAUGAUCUCACGGGACACAGAUGAUUGAAUAAUUUCUCUCUUUAUUGAUGGUAAGACGUUAGUAGGGGCUAAAGUACAUGUGUUUACCUAUACUAGUUCCUUAGUCCAACCAUCGCUGACUAGGAACUCCCUUACAAAGAGCAUAUCGGCCAAAUUCUCACUUGGCUGUGGGAAACAUAAAAAAGCCAAAGAGGGCCAAUCUAAAUAAAAUAAAAUACAAGGAAAACAAAAAAUACAAUAAUGCCACUUGCACACAAGCAACCAACCAUAAACUUGACUCAUGACCCUGGGCAAGGUUGCUUGUGGCAUUACAUGUCUUGGCCCUAACACAAGGGAGGCCAAGGGGGCGCCUUGGACUACCUUAGCCUGCCUUGACCCCCCUUGGGUCGCCAUGGGCCGCCUUGACCCGUCUUGGACCACCUUGACCCGCAUUGGGCCGCCUUGACCCUUCUAGACCCACCUAGGGCCACCAAGAAGCCGCCAUGACUCACCAAGGGGUCGCUUUGACCCGCCCUAACCCACCUUGGGCUGCCAUGGGCCGCCUUGUCCCGUCUUAACCCGCCUUGACCCGCUUUGAGCCGCCUUGGGCCGCCUUGACCCGCCUUGAACCGCGUUGGGCCGCCUUGACCCUCAUAGACCGCCUUGAACCUCCUUGGGUCGGCUUGACCUGCUUUGACCCAACUUGGCCUGCCUUAAACCGCUUUGACCCUCCUAGACCUACCUUGACCUUCUUAGACUCGCCUAGGGCCACCAAGAAGCCGCCAUGUACCGCCUUGAGUCGCCUUAACCCGCCUUGACCCACCUUGGCCCGCCUUGACUGGCUAGCCUUCGACCGCCUUAACCCAUCUUAGGCCGCCUUGACCCGCCUUGGAUUGCCUAAGGCCACCUGUACCCUCCUAAACCCACCUAGGGCCACCAAGAAGCCGCCAUGACUCGCCAAGGGGUCGCCAUGACCCUCCUCGGCUCUUCUAUUCCCACUUAGGGCAGCCAAUGGGGAGCCUUGACCCACCUUGGAUCGCUUUGACCAACCAUGUGCCGCCUUGAACCGCCUAGUGCCACAAAGAAACUGCCAUGACUCGUCAAAGCGUCGCUAUGACCCUCCUAGGCCCGUCUAGGGCCGCCAAGGGACCACCUUAGCCUCCCUUGACCCGUCUUGGCCCGCCUUAACCCUCUCUGACCCUUUUAGGCCCACCUAGGGCAGCCAAAGGGGCGCCAUGACCCACCUAGAGGGCUGCCUUUACACGCCUUGACCCGUCUUGACCCGCCUUGUGCCGCCUAGACCCACCAAGGGGCUGCCUUGACCCUCCUGGGCCCGUCUAGGGCCACCUUUACCCGCAUUAGCCCGCCAUGACCCACCUUUGGCCGCCUUGACCUUCCUUAGGCCACCAAGAGGCCACCUUGACCCAUCCAAGGCCACCAAUGGCCCGCUUGAACCGCUUGACCCACCUUGGGCCGCUAAAAGGCCGCCUUCGCCCGGUUAGAGUCGUCAAAGGGUAGCGUUCACCCGUCUAGGGCAACCACCAAGUGGGCGCUUUGACCCUCCUAGGGCAGCUUUGACUCGCCUUGAACCGGUUUGACCCGCCUUGAACCGCCUUGACCAUCCUAGAUACGCUUUGACCCGCCUUGACCUACCUUGGCCCGCGUUGACCCGCCUUGAUCCGCCUUGGGCCGCCUUGACCCACCUUAAACCGUGUUAGACUGCUUUGGCCCUCAUAGACUCGCCUAGACCCUCUUAGACCCGCCACGGGGCUGCCUUGGGCCGCCUUGGCCUUCCUUGGACCGACUUGACCCGUUUUGACCCAACUUAGCCCGCCUUAAACCAUUUUGACCCUCCUAGACCUACCUUUACCCUCUUAGACUCGCCUACGGCCACCAAGAAGCAGUCAUGACUUGCCAUGGACCGCCUUGACCCGCCUUGACCUACCCUAGCCCGCCUUAACCCGCCCGCCUUCGACCGCCUUGACCAGCAUUGGAUUGCCUAGGGCCGCCUUUACCCUCCUAAACCCACCUAGGGCCACCAAGACUCGCCAAUGGGUUGCCAUGACCCUCCUAAGCCCGUCUAGGGCCACUAAGAAGCUGCCAAGACUCGCCAAGGGGUCACCAUGACCCUCCUAGGCCCGUCCACGCAGCCAAGGGACCACCUUAGCCCAUCCUGACCCUCCUUGAUCCUUCUAGGCCUACCUAAGGCAGCCAAGGGGGGCUAUGACCCACCUAGGGGGCUGACUUUACAGGCCUUGACUCGUCUUGACCCGUCAAAGAGCUGUCUUUACACGCCUAGGAGUAUUUUGACCUCCCCAGGGUAUGUCAUGACCCGCCUAGGGACGCCAAGGGGCAGCAUACGUCCGCCAAGGGCCACCUUAACCUGCCUUGGCCCGUCUUGGUCCGCCAUAACCCGCCUUGACCUGCCAUGGGAUGCCUUAACCCGCCUUGACCCUCGUAGACCCACCAAGGGCCACAAAGAAGUAACCAUGACUCGCCAAGGGGUCGCCAUGACCCUCCUCGGCUCUUCUAGGCCUAUCUAGGGCGGCCAAGGGGCGUCUUGACCCGUCUUAACCUGCCUUGGGCCGUCUUGACCUGUUUUGGGCCGCCUUGCUCCGCUUUGGGGCAAGAGGUCACCAUGACCCUCCUCGGCUCUUCUAGGGCAGCCAUGGGGCGGCGAAGGGGGCGCCUUGACCCACCUUGGGCUGCCUUGACCCGCUUUGGGUGGCCUUGAUCCGCCUUGAACCGCGUUGGGCGCCUUUAGACCCGCCUAGGGUCGACUUGACCCUCUUAGACCCGCCACGGGGCUGUCUAGGGUCGCCUUGACCUGCCUUUAACCCACCUUGGCCUUCCUUGGGCCGGCUUGACCCGCCUUGGCCCUCCUCCAUAACCCGCCUUAAACCGCUUUAACCCUCCUAGACCUACCUUAACCCUCUUAGACUUGCCUAGGGCCACCAAGAAGCCGCCAUGACUCGCCAUGGGCCGCCUUGACCCGCCUUGACCCUCUUAGACUCGCCUAGGGACACCAAGAAGCCCCCAUGACUCGCCAUGGACCGCCUUGACCCGCCUUGACUUGCCUUGGACCGCCUUCGGCCGCCUUGACUCGUCUUAGGCCACCAUGGCCCACCUUUACCCGCCUUGAACCGCCUUGACCCUCCUAAACCCACCUAGGUCCAACAAGAAGCCGCCAUGACUCACCGAGGGAGUGCCAUGACCCUCCUCGGCUCUUCUAGACCCAUCUAAGGCAACCAAGGGGCGUUGGGCCACCUUAGACUGCCUUGGGCCGUCAUUACCCACUUUCGGCCGCCUUGACUCGGCUUGAACCGCAUUGGGCCGCCUUGAGCCUCCUUGACCCACCUUGUGUCAUCUUGACCCGCUGUGACCCACCUUGUGCCACCUUGACCCGCUUUGUGCUCCUUGACCCGCCUUGUGCCCACCUUGACCCUCCUUGCCCGCUUUAACCGCCUUGGGCUGCCUUGACCCUCCUUGGCCCGCCAAGAGGCCGCCUUGACCAUCUAUGGCCACCAAGGGCCCGUCUUGACCAUCUAGGGCCACCAAGGGCCCGUCUUGACCCACCUUGGGCCGCUUGGGCCUGCCUUGUGCCGCCUUGUCCUGCCUUGUGCCCGCCUUGACCCUCUUUGGCCCUCCAAGAGGCUGCCUUGACCCGCCUUGACUUGUCUUGGCCCGCCUUGACUUUCCUUGGACUGCCUUAGGCUGCCUUGACCCGUCUUAGGCCUCCAUGGGCUACCUUAAACCGCCUUAGGCCGCAUUGACCCUCCUAAACCCACCUAGGUCCACCAAGAAGCCUCCAUGACUCACCAAGGGUCACCAUGACCCUCUUAGGCUUGUCUAAAGCCACCAAGAAGCUGCCAUGACUCGCCAAGGGGUCGCCAUGACCCCUCCUAGCCCGUCUAGGGCCACUAAGAAGCCUCCAUGACUCGCCGAGGGGUCGCCAUGACCCUCCUCGGCUCUUCUAGACCCAUCUAGGGCAGCCAAGGGGCGUUGGGCCACCUUGGACUGCCUUGGGAAGCCAUAACCCGCUUUUGGCCGCCUUGAACCGCGUUAGACCGUCUUGAGCCUCCUUGACCCGCCUUGUGUCGUCUUGACCCACUUUGACCCGCCAUGUGCCGCCUUAACCCGCCUUGACCCUCCUUGGGCCACCUUAAGCCAUCUAGGGACACCUAGGUCCCGCCUUGACCCGCCAUAACCCGUUUUGAGCCUCCUUGACCCAUCUAGGGACACCAAGGGCCCGCCAUGACCCGUCUUGUGCCCACCUUUACCCGCCUUGGGCAGCCUUGACCCAUCUGGGGCCACCAAGGGACCGCCUUGACCUGUCUUUGCCGCUUUGACCCGCCAUGACCCGCUUUGUGCCGCCUUGACCCGCCUUGAUCCGCCUUGCCUGCUUUGACCGCCUUGGUCCGCCUUGACCCUAUUUGACCCGCCUUGUGCCUGCCUUGACCCACGUUGUGCCCACCUUGACCCACCUUGACCCCUCUAGGGCCACCAACGACCCGCCUUGACCCGCCUUUUGCCGCCUUGACCCACCGUGGCCCGCCUUAACCCGCUUGGACCCGCCUUGUGCUACCUUGACCAGCCUUGUGUCACCUUCCCCGUCUUGACCCGCCUUAUGCCGCCUUCAUCCGUCUUCACCCGCCUUGACCCACCUUGGCCCGCCUUAACCCACAUUGCCCCGCUUUAACCGCCUUGGGCCGCCAAGAGGCCGCCUUGACCCAUCUACGGCUACCAAGGGCUCGCCUUGACCCUCCUUGCGCCGCCUUCCCUGCCUUGACUGACACGACCCACCCUGAAUUUCACCCUGAAACCCGGAGUAAGUCGUGCGGGGACCACCUUCAAGGAAAAUUUACUAAAAAGAUUGAUAAAAAUCUCCCUUUAAAAUGGACAACCCUAACUCGAAAAUUCCAAAUUUCACUCUUAAUACAACACGUCCAAACAUCACAUAAUUAUCCUUCAGAAAUUCUAAACAUAAUAUACAAUAAUCCCAAAGUAUUCAGAGCUACUAGACACUAGCGGAAGCAAGAAAACACUAGUAGGUUAAGCAGGUAACCUACUGAUGAAAACUGGAUCCAACCCGAACUCUGCAGAUUGGGCAAUUUAAAACGAAAGGCCCAGGGGAAAACAUUUAAUAACGUUAGAGUGAGUGGACAAAAAUAAAAUAAUAAAUAAAAUAUUUAUGUUUCCCCAAAUUAAUUUCUAAGAAAAAAUCGAAUGCAUGCCGCAAGCGAUAAAACUUUUAUCUCAUAAAAAUAUCGAGCCUCUCAGACUCUAUAAUAUAUGUAUGUAUUUACACUCGUCCAUAUUCCCUAUAUAAAUUCAUGGGUCUAUAUAGGGCUACUACGCUCGCGUCCAACGCUCACGUCACGCCUUAAUGAGGUGUUACACUACGCCAUUAAGGUGGACAGACGGGUGUAUAAAUAUGUGUCCAUACCCCCUAUGUGAAUUAAACACUCAUAUAGGGCUAUUAUGUACGCUCACGUCCAACGCUCACGUCACACCAUAAUGCGGCUAUAUGCUACGCCAUUAAGGUGGACAGACACAUAUGGCUAGCUAGCAUUUUAUAUACAUACUCUCUCAUAAAUACAUAUUUAUAUCCACCGAAAAUCCCAUUUUCGGUAACUCUCUAAGAGAAAUAAAAUUCGUCAAAUUAAAAUGACGUCAAAAUAUUUCGCAACAAUUAUUGUUUAACCAUGAACUCUAGCAUGCAUUUUAUUUAAAACAAAAGUCCACUCAAAAAUUAGGCCUAAGCCUGAUGUCAAUCUGGGGCCUCGUCUGCUCGAGCCUCCUCACGUCCUGUUUCAAAUAUAAUAUUAAUUUCCCAACUAACAAUCUAAUAUUUAAUCAAAAUAGGCAAAAUUACCCGAGAGCCAUAAAUACGCUCAUCAUUGCCUAACUUCGAUAUUCUUAAAUCGAAACAAUCCGAACUUAAAUAUCAUCCUCGACAGUCGUAAAUACAACUUUCCCAAAAAAAUACGACUUAAAUCCUACGGCCGGAUUUUACAUUAAUUAACCGCCAAAAAUACCAAACUUCGGAAAUUCACAAACCUAUCCAAAUCUCAUCCAAAAAUUCCAUAAAUCACAUCAAUAUAAUCCCCUUAAUAUUCCUCAUUUAAAACCCUAAAAAUCUCCCAAACCGAGGCGGCGCCGGAGGCCGGAGGCCGAUUCCGGCGACCUCCAAAACCUAUGAAAUUUUGACAGCAUCUUCCUCUCAUCAUGCUCUACAACUUUCCUAACUAGCACAAACACCAAUUCCAAGCCUAACUAGGGUAAUCGACUAAAAAAUCCAAAAAUUCCCUAGAACUUCAAUUAUACAUUUCUCCAUAACCACAACGAAAUAGACUUAUUCUUUUUGCGGGAAUACUCACCUUGAUGAGAGCUACAAGACGAGCCAAAGAUUCCGACCUAUGGUGGCCGGAGGUGGGAUUUCCGGCGAAAAGUUUCCCGGCGUCUCCGGCGAGUUUUCUCCUCUUCCGGCGGGUUAGAGGCUCGGGGGCUAGGCCGGGGAGGGAGAGGAGAAGAUGGGGGUCCGAACUGGGGAGGAGUGGUGGCUGGUUGCUGGCCGGACGACGGCAGUUGGUGGUUGGAAGUUUUCUGGCGGAGAGGGGCUCGGGGAAACUCAAGGGAGAAAGAGAGAAGGAAGAGGGGAAGAGAAAAAAAAACUGAGGGCGAGGCUUUGGGCUGUUCCACAGCCGGUCCAGCUACAAAAACCCAACCAAAAAACAAAAUAAUACUCAUUAAUAACUACCCCUUUUUACCAUCUCAAAAAUUUACUAUCUUAAAUCAUAACUUUUUCAUGCUAACUCCGAUUUUAACACAUAGCAUGCCUACGAACUCGUAUUAACGUCCUCUACAACUUUCAUGAAGAAAGUUUCUCCAAAUUCUAAACGGAAAAGAAAGUCAACUUUAGGGUCCUUAGAUAGUCAACGGUUAUUCAACACGGUAAAAGACUAAAAUAAUACCAAAGUAAAUAACCGUAAAAUAACUUAAGAACCGGGGUGUGACAUUGACCCUCCUUGUACCGCCUUGACCCGCUUUGGGCCGCCUUUACCCGCCUUAACUCUUCUAGGCCCUCCUAGGGCCGCCUUGACACCUCAUUAGGCUGCCCUGACCAUUUUAGGGCCACCAAAAGGCCGCCUUGACCUACCAAGGGGCUGCCUUGACCCUCUUAGGCCGGUUUAGGGCAGCCUUGACCCGCCAUAACCCGCCUUGCCCAGUCUAGGGCAGCCAUGACCCUCCUAUGCCAGUGUAGGGCCGCCUUGACCCUUCACGACCUUCCUAAGUCCACCUAAGGCAACCAAGGGGCCGUCUUGACCCACCUAGGGCCACCAAGGGGUCAUCUUGACUCGCCGAGUGGCUGUCUUGACCCUUCACGGCCUUCCUAGGUCCGCCUAAGGCAACCAAGGGGCCGCCAUGACCCACCAAGGGCCUGCUUUGACCCACUAAGGGCCCACCUUGACCCGUCUUGGCCCAUCUUAGGCCGCCUUAACCCGUCUUGACCCGCUUUGACCCGACUUGGCCCGCAUUGUCCAGACCUGGGCUGCCUUGACCCACAUUUGGCCACCAAGAGGCCGCCUUAACCCAUCUAUGGCCAUCAAGGGACCGCCUUGACCAGCCAAGAGACUGCCUUAACCCACUUUGACCCACCUUGACCCACUUUAGGCCACCUUGGGCUGCCUUAACUAGCCUUGACCCGCCAUGACCCACAUUGACCCACCUUGGCCCGUAUUGUCCCAACUUGGGCCACCUUGGGCCGCCAAGUGGCCGCCUUAACCCAUCUAGGGCCACCAAGGGACCGCCUUGACCCACCAAAAGGCUGCUUGUUUGAAACAUGAUUUUGAGCAUGAUGGUUAUCAAAAUGGAUUUUUUUAAGUGAGGUUGUGGAUUAAUAUUGUGACUGUUUGAAUCUUGAUGGACCAUAUGUGUGGGCAUUAUAGUUCUCUAAAAUGUUUGGAAGGCGUUAGGUUUGUGUUUAGUUUUCUUGUUUUGCUCGAGGACUAGCAAUAUCUAAGUUUGGGGGUAUUUGAUAAAUUCAUAUUUCAUACAUUCUUAUACCCUUAGAUGCAUGAUUAUAUGCUUAGUUCUUGUCAAUUGUGAGUCAUUUACUUGGUUUUUAUGUUUUCUAGGUCAAGUUGGGGAAAAAGAGAAUUUGGAGCUAAGUGAUCCAGAAACUGCUCUACUGUGCGUUAACUUUAAGGAUUAAACUAUACCUGCUCACAAAGAAUUUGGAGGCGAGCCAUACACCAUUGGAAAGCUACGGAUGUUAGCUUUCUGAAAAAUUUUGCGGAAGUGGAUUUGCAUUUCUCUAGAGCAAGUUAUGAAGGUUUGAGUGAAUGCAACGCGUGGAGGCCGAUUCUGACGAAUUUUGCAUAUCUUCUCAUGAUUCCAAUUCGUGAAGCCCAAGUCCAUCAAUCUUAAUACUACAAGGAAAGGGCUGAACAUGGCUAACAUAUUUGGAAUGUUACUCUUGCAUUGACAAUAAUAACCUUGUGAUAUUUGGAGAGAAGAUAACAAUUCCAUGUUGGACAAGGAGAGUCCAAAAAGCCCAAAUCAAUUGGGAUUUCAAGAGGAAUAAAGGCAAACCCUAAAGAACAUAUACAC
rnacentral:lncRNA from 1 species